rnacentral:rRNA from 1 species
AAGUCGAACGAAGUAGCAAUACUUAGUGGCAGACGGGUGAGUAACAUGUAGGUAUCUUCCCUAUGGUGAGGAAUAACACGAGGAAACUUGUGCUAAUACCUCAUAAGUCUUUACGGAGAAAGCUUUAUGCGCCAUUGGAUGAGCCUGCACUUGAUUAGUUUGUUGGUGGGGUAAUGGCCUACCAAGACUAUGAUCAAUAGCUGAUUUGAGAGGAUGAUCAGCCACAUUGGGACUGAGACACGGCCCAAACUCCUACGGGAGGCAGCAGUAGGGAAUCUUGCACAAUGGGGGAAACCCUGAUGCAGCGAUGCCGCGUGAGUGAAGAAGGCCUUUGGGUUGUAAAGCUCUUUCGUCGGGGAAGAAAAUGACUGUACCCGAAUAAGAAGGUCCGGCUAACUUCGUGCCAGCAGCCGCGGUAAUACGAAGGGACCUAGCGUAGUUCGGAAUUACUGGGCUUAAAGAGUUCGUAGGUGGUUAAAAAAGUUGGUGGUGAAAUCCCAGAGCUUAACUCUGGAACUGCCAUCAAAACUUUUUAGCUAGAGUAUGAUAGAGGAAAGCAGAAUUUCUAGUGUAGAGGUGAAAUUCGUAGAUAUUAGAAAGAAUACCAAUUGCGAAGGCAGCUUUCUGGAUCAUUACUGACGCUGAGGAACGAAAGCAUGGGUAGCGAAGAGGAUUAGAUACCCUCGUAGUCCAUGCCGUAAACGAUGUGUGUUAGACGUUGGAAUUUAUUUUCAGUGUCGCAGCGAA